rnacentral:rRNA from 1 species
UACGGGGGGGGGCAAGCGUUGUUCGGAAUUACUGGGCGUAAAGGGCUCGUAGGCGGCCAACUAAGUCAGACGUGAAAUCCCUCGGCUUAACCGGGGAACUGCGUCUGAUACUGGAUGGCUUGAGUUUGGGAGAGGGAUGCGGAAUUCCAGGUGUAGCGGUGAAAUGCGUAGAUAUCUGGAGGAACACCGGUGGCGAAGGCGGCAUCCUGGACCGAUACUGACGCUGAGGAGCGAAAGCCAGGGGAGCAAACGGG